rnacentral:tRNA from 1 species
GCAGUAGUGGCCCACUGGUUAGGGCUUUGGGCUUGGAACCGAAGGGUUGCUGGUUAGAUCCAGACCAGUGGG